AAAUUGAAGAGUUUGAUCAUGGCUCAGAUUGAACGCUGGCGGCAGGCCUAACACAUGCAAGUCGAACGGUAACAGGAAGCAGCUUGCUGCUUUGCUGACGAGUGGCGGACGGGUGAGUAAUGUCUGGGAAACUGCCUGAUGGAGGGGGAUAACUACUGGAAACGGUGGCUAAUACCGCAUAACGUCGCAAGACCAAAGAGGGGGACCUUCGGCCUCUUGCCAUCAGAUGUGCCCAGAUGGGAUUAGC
rnacentral:rRNA from 2 species